AUUGAACGCUGGCGGCAGGCCUAACACAUGCAAGUCGAACGAGUGGCGGACGGGUGAGUAAUGGCUGGGAAACUGCCUGAUGGAGGGGGAUAACUCCUGGAAACGGUAGCUAAUACCGCAUCCCCUCGGAUGUGCCCAGAUGGGAUUAGCUAGUAGGUUGGGUAACGGCGCACCAGGGCGACGCACCCUAGCAGGUCUGAGAGGAUGACAAGCCACACUGGAACUGAGACACGGUCCAGACUCCUACGGGAGGCAGCAGUGGGGAAUAUUGCACGAUGGGCGCAAGCCUGAUGCAGCCAUGCCGCGUGUAUGAAGAAGGCAUUCGGGGUGUAAAGUACGUUCAGCGGGGAGGCGUUACCCGCAGAAGAAGCACCGGCUAACUCCGUGCCAGCCGCCGCGGUAAUUC
rnacentral:rRNA from 1 species